CCGACAAGCGGUGGAGCAUGUGGUUCAAUUCGACGCAACGCGAAGAACCUUACCUGGGCUCGAAAUGCAGAUGACAUUCGGUGAAAGCCGACUCCCGCAAGGGCAACUGUAUAGGUGCUGCAUGGCUGUCGUCAGCUCGUGUCGUGAGAUGUUGGGUUAAGUCCCGCAACGAGCGCAACCCUCGUCCUCUGUUGCCAUCAGGUCAAGCUGGGCACUCUGAGGAGACUGCCGGUGAUAAACCGGAGGAAGGUGGGAUGACGUCAAGUCAGCAUGGCCUUUAUGUCCAGGGCCACACACGUGCUACAAUGGCGGAUACAAAGCGCUGCAAACUCGCGAGAGUGAGCCAAUCGCAUAAAGUCCGUCUCAGUUCGGAUUGUAGGCUGCAACUCGCCUGCAUGAAGUUGGAAUCGCUAGUAAUCGCAGGUCAGCAACACUGCGGUGAAUGUGUUCCUGAGCCUU
rnacentral:rRNA from 1 species